UCGGGGACUGGGUGAAGGCCACGACCUGGCCGCUGCCAUAGCUGCGCGACAGGACGAAGGGCUUGUAGGCCAGCUGUUCGGCAUAGUCGUCCCACAG
rnacentral:tRNA from 1 species